ensembl:lncRNA
CUUGGGGCUUCUUCAUUCUGUGUAGGGGUUUUUAUAAACUUCUAUGAUUUUUCACCUAAUUCUCCUUUGUUUACUUUUGUUGAGACAUUGCACUAUUUUAUAAUUUAGACUUUUUCACCUUUGGAAAUAAACCAGACUUGGAAAAAAAAUGUUUUCUCAGAAUUUUGGAUGAAUUUAGAAUGUUGUGUAAUUAUGAAAUCAGGACUGCUAAUUUGAGGAAGUAUGAUGGAUGGAGCGUGCCCUGGGUCUGGGUCAGCACUGGAUCUCAGCCCCAGGCGCUGGGAGUCCGGGGCCUCCUGGGCCACGUCUCCAUUUUGAGCCCAGUGGACCAAUCAACCUGGACUUUCGUGGUACCCAGCACAGAAACACUGGGCUGAAAGGGACAGCCAAACUGCAGUCACGAGGAGAUGGAGCUCCCACUGUGGCAGAGAGAAGGGACCUUAGAACUUUAUGACACUGGAGAGUCCCUGAGUCAACCACUUCUGAAGCUGUCUUCGCUUGGACCUCCAGUUACGUAUUUUACUUGUUUUUAAGCGGGGCUGGGUUGGGCUUUCUCUUAUGUGCACUGUGAAGCUCCUGAGUGAUACAGAAUGACAAUUAUUCUCUGUAAUUUCCUGUGCAAGACUUUUACUUCCCUUUCUGUGGAUGCCCCCUCACUUACGAUCUUAAAGUCACAAAUCUCUCAAACUAUUUCUUGCUUUGAAUGGCUGCUUUUACAUAGUGUCUUUAAGUCCCAAAUCAUGUAGUAAUAGUAGUAAUAGCUGCACUCACUAUUUGUUGGGCUCUCUCAGAAGCAUCUUAUGUGUAUAGCUUGUAAUCUCUACAAUAAUGCUCUGAGGCCAAGACUGUCAAUUUCCCAUUUUAAAGAAGACGACGACUAAGGUAGAAAGAGAUGCCUAAGGUCACACUGUUACUGACAGGCUUUGGAACCAGGUGCAGCUGGUUCAAUCCCAGGGACUGUGCACUUCACCACCCCCCUGUGUAGAUUUAAUAGGACACAACUGGGCACGGCUGCAUCAUUCUCCAGGAGACUCACAGGAAGCUGAGCAGAGGGAUGAGUUUUAUGGUAAACAUUUGGAAUUAACAUUUCAUUUUCUUUUUGUAAUUGAAAACAUGAUUGAUAUAAGUUCCCCUAAAGCACUAUUCUGAAAAUAGACCACAAAAAAUAAUGAGAGUGCUUCUGAACCAAAGACUGAGUAUAUUUUAUUUAGAUCCUUAAUAUCUUCAUUUUAAUGUACUUUAUCUAUUAAAAAUGUCUAUUAAAAUAGAUAUGUUAAAACCUCUCAGGACACUGGUUUAUUCUAUUUUGUUCUUAUAAUUCCCGUAAGAGUUAUUUUAUGUGUUGACUAAUCACGUUAUUUGGGCCUGGAACCAUUGCGCGGGUCAAAUGUUCUUUUUGAUUAUGCCUCCCAACAUCAUGAUAUGAUCCUUUUUAUGCCUUUGCAUCUCUUUUUUCUCCAUAGAAUUCUAGGUUGUGUGUGUUGCAUAAAAUUAAAAAGAAAAAACAAUUGAAAGUUCUUAAUUAAAUCUUUAGUAACAGACCAAGAACAAAAGCGCAACUUUGGCUUCUGUAAAGGAUUGUUUAUUCCUCAUUUAUUCUUUAUUUGCCAGCAACAAACAAGCAAACAAACAAACAAAUAAAAAUGAAGACAUGGAAGGCCAAGGAGAAGAAAGAACCUGAGAUAUUUCAUGGUGCAACGGUAAUAUGAGUGCUUUGGAGGAGCUCACAGGGAGAGGAGAAGGAGACAGGGGUGGCCCUCAGGGAGACCCAAGAGUUUUUGACUCCUCCUUGCACUUACUCUGCCGGUCGGAAAGAAACCCCAAUCCUGUCUAUUGGCCUCACCUUUGCAGCUCAGCGGAUUCAAUCACACCCUCAGAGGCCUCCCGCCUCACUCAGUUCAGUCCACUUUCCGCAUUGCCACUAGAAUGUCCUCAAUGAGACACAGACCUGAGCAUGUCAGUUUGUGGCUCUCAUCCUUCCCUGACUUCGCUUUGCCUGUGAAAUAGCAUUCAGACUUCUGAGGCUGGAGUUUGAGGACAUACCACCGUCUGGUUACAAACUACACUUCAGCCCCUGCCUCUGAGAAUGUUCACUACAGGAAGCCCUGCCAUCUUCAAGUCCCACCUCGGAACUCACUUCCUCUGUAAACGCUCUGACAGCCUCACACUAGCCUGUUGUAGAGUUAUUUAUGGGUCUGCAUUAGCUCUCCCAGCAGUGGGAGGCCUCAGCAGCAGGUUCUGCUGCAUCUUAUUAAUUCUUAAUUUCCC